GAAGAAAAGAGGUACAGAACACCCAGAGGUGCCCUCGAUUCCGUCUUGCACUUGCCCUUCUCCCACCGUCCAGCAAUAAAGCGAGAGAAACAAGUGCAGGAAACUGGCCGGCAGUCAUGGGAGAAGCCAAAAAGACAGGAGUUCAGUGGCAUGACCAGGGCUCACUGCAACCUUGAUCUGGGCUCAAGUGAUCCUCCUACCUCAGCUUCCUGAGUAGCUAGGACCACAGCCCUGGCUCCUGUGGCUAGAGCCCUGGUGCCCACAGCUCAACCUGGACCUGUCCACCCUUGAAGGGCUCAUGAUGCAGCAUCAGGGAGUCCCAGAUCGAGCCGCUGACACCUCCAAGUCGGCUGCAGCUGUGCAUCCGCUCAGACCACAAGACUCAAUGGAGGAUGCUGACCUCUCUUUGUUCUCCCAACGAGUACUAGGCAAGGAGGGAAGGAAG
rnacentral:lncRNA from 10 species